ensembl:lncRNA
CUGGGAUCUAGUUAGGUUUCUUCAGAGAAUACUAGACUCAACGGCAGUCAAGGAAUUAUAGGUCAGUUCAAGUUUUGGUAAACAAAGGCUGACUUACAUGACUAUUUUCACCAAGCCGCAAAAGCCAUCCAGUGUUAUUUCUGCCACUUCUAUUAGCUACAAGGGUGUCUUGAACCCACCUAGAUUCAAGGAAGGGCAUUGUGGACCUCACCUCUUGAUGAAAGGAGUUUCAUUAUCCCAUUGUGGAGGAGCAAGGCAGGUGGCCUGGAUGAAGAAAGAAGGGAGGCCUACUGCUCCUGCUGAUGCUUGCUGCCUUCUGCCUGCCCUGACAAGCCAUGGAUUGUUUUUCCUCUGUGAUGCCUCUUUGCCAUGCUGCCCUGCAGUGGAGCCAGUCUACUAUGGAAUAAAACCUCUAAAAACUAUAUGUGUCUUGGGGGCAAAAGCUGACCAAGUCCUACAGGUAACUGUGAAGAUCUGAGGAAUUCCUCAUUUCCAUUCAUUGCCUGCUUAGAGAACUCAAUAUCCUGGACCUCCUCACCCCAACUAAAGAUCAUAAAUCCAAUGAGAAAACCUUCAGAGAAGGGGAUAAAACAAUCAGUGUAGAGCUGCAUCUACCUAAAUGAUGGCUAAUAGAUCACACUUAGACUCUGAUUAGAAGAUACCUUAUAUGUGCUGACAGAAGUUGCCACAUAUUCUAAAGUGUCAUGGCUCAGAUCUAUAACGUACCUCAGAAGGUUCAUGUGUUCAGAAGUGAGGCUUUGGAAAGGCAAUUUGAUCACAAGAGUGUUGAAGGGACCUUUAGGAGGUGAAGCCUGGUUGGAGAAGAUGCAGCCUGAUGUGUCUUUUUUGAGGCAACUUUUUGCUCACCCAGUGGUCUUGAAUUCUCCGCAAUCCACUGAACAGCCUUUACUCUGCUGUUCACCAGUACACCAAUUCCUGAGUUCAGAGUGGUGGCCUUCUGGAUCCCUGAGCUGACCCGUUGUCUUGGUGGGGUUCUGGCUGGGGCCUGUACACACUUGGUAUGGUAUCUAGGUGUGCCUCUUGCUGGGGCCCCUAUGUAGCUGUUUGGGGGCUGUUUACCCCAGUUCCUUCGGUCUGCACAGGAUUUGGCUAUGGUUUCCAUGCACUUAUCAGUGGUACCAGGGAAGCCUCUGGGUAUUGCCUGUGUGUCUGUACAGCUCUUCUCUAGGUGGGUCCCUGGCCAUCGCCAAUGUUAGGGUGGGCCUCUUGCAUAAGCCUGCAAACCCCUGCAGCUCCUUUCUAGGCAGAACCCCAGCCUGUAUGGGUGUGCUGAAGCCUCUGGUGGUGGAGCAGACCCUGACUGGGAUCUGUCUGCAGCCACACUGGUCUGGGACAUACAGCUGCUCCCUGGGGUCUGCAUACACACACUGAUGGGAUGGUGGGCCUCUGGCAGAAGCCCAAGAGCUGGCACAGCUCCUUUCCAGAUGGACCCUGGCCUGGGCGGCUGUGCAGGAGCUUCUGUGGUCAGGGCAGACCCCUGACUGGGAUCUACCUACAGCCUUGCUGAUCUGGGCCACACAGCUCUCUUUGAUUAUUUUUUGAGAUAUAAUUUCACUAAGCCAUUAAAUUGCCCGGCCUAGGUUCCAACCUGUAAACUUUCUGCUUCAGCUUUCCAAAGUGCUGGGAUUAUGGCUGUGUGGCACCAUGCCUACACUUAAUUUUUAUACUAUAAAAAUCUUAAAUUGUUGUAUUUUAAUAAAUAUCCUCAAUUCAAAACAUUUUUCUGGAUUUCAAAUAUAUCUAUGGAUAAUGCUUCUUUGGAACAAUUAAUUAAACUUAAAGACAGUUACAUGUUUUUGGAUAACAAAUGGCAAGAUGAUAGGGAUUCACCCUCAUUCAUUUUUCCCACAUCAUAAGCUGUUUGAAGGGUUAAAAUCUUUUGUUCCUACCCUACUGUAUGAUUAUGUGUAUGUGCUCAAGGAAGUGGUCUUUGCACCACCUACCUUCCUCUUCCCUCAAACUCACAGUCAGAGUGCCUUGGUUCACUAACUUAAUUCUUUCCACAAUUCUCAUUGCCAACUGAAUUGGGUGAGAACCAAAUCAAAUUUUGCCAUAAGGUCAAACAAAUGAAAUUUCCCCAUAAGAUCAACCAUUGAAUUUGAUUCGGUUCUCGUCCAAUUCAGUUUGCAACCAGAAUCAUGGAAAGAAUUAAAUUCAUGAACAGAGGCACCACCGUAUUUUCCUUGUAUGGAAAAUAUAUUUUUCCUCUCAUUCUGGCACCCUUUAAUAAUUGUAGGAUUUUUUUUAUUGGUACUGUCUGAAAUUAUCCAGUUUUUGUCUGUUGCUCCCAAAAGAUUUUAAGUCCUAUAAGGAAGAUUCUAU